GUGCAUUAGUACAUGCUAACGAUAUUCAAAAAGUACAUACCUCAAAGAAAACGAUGACGCGAGUUAUCGUCUCUAACGUUCGAGGACUACAAAAAACACUCGGAUUGUAGGCAACAGUUUACUUCCUGGGAUUAGUGACGUAGAUAAGACCAACAUUAUCAUAGUUCAGCCCUCUCUGCUUUGCUUGGGUACGCCCUCAAAGACGAGGGUGGGGUGGGGAGCGCCGAGUCAGAAGAGAGCUAAAAUGGCGGAGGUUGGGAGUCCCUGCUUUGACUCUGUUUGCAAACUCUUGUUUCAUUGUUUAAGCGAUUAAAUCUCUCGAGUAGACGCUGUCUCUUUAGAUGCGAGGGCAAAAUAGCACUUUAUGGACUUACACAGAGGACAUCAUGUUUAAUACGGUUCCGGAAAAAUCCAGUCAGAAGUUGUUCACGGAGUUUUCACAAUAACUGCUUCUCAUGAACCGAAGCUGGAUUUGCGCAACGUCUCCUCUUGAAAGUUGGAUUACUGUGCACUUCUGGAUCACAGACUAUUCGCAGCUGUACACAUCCUUCUACACUGUAUGCAAACAUGCAACAUCAUUACACACAGUACAAGGAGUCAGACUGGCAUAUGAGGAGCAAAGGAACCCAGGCAGUAGCAUCGUUUCACAAUGUUUCCAUCACCAUCAUCAGUGGAUGCCUUUGCCGUCCGUAGCCUGAGAUUUCAGAUUUGCAGCAAAAAAAAAUGAUUUUCUCAUUUAUUGGAAUGCUGUGCAGGUAUUUGUACCUUGCAGCCAUCCAUUACAAUGUCACCAAGCCGUAACAAAAGCAGGAGAGGGAAAGUACAAGGCUAUGUUCCCAAAACACAAAUGACAUACCUUAUGUGGAGGAUGUGAUCAGGCUUGUGUUUGAUGAGGUAUUUGAAGACAAGCUGAAGGAAGCCCUGAUUCCAAUGGACCUGGCAUCACAGUUUGAGAGACCUUCAAAGGAGGACGUGAUUGCAUUCCAUCUUCAGUGCAGGGGUCGUCGAAAGCCAAAAUUGUGACCGAUCUGAUCAGGAAGCUCCAAGCGUAUCUGGAGAACAACACACGACAGGAUGAUAACCUUAUAGUGUCGUCUUAGAUAGCACCAGCUGACAAAGCUUUGAUAUGCCAUUUAUCUGAAUAGAUAGCUGUAAGAAAUGAAUUGAACACUUUUUGAAACAAGAGCACA